GAACGCUGGCGGCGUGCCUAACACAUGCAAGUCGUACGAGAAAUCCCGAGCUUGCUUGGGAGAGUAAAGUGGCGCACGGGUGAGUAACGCGUGGGUAACCCACCUUCGAAUCUGGGAUAACUCCGCGAAAGCGGUGCUAAUACCGGAUAAGACCACAGCCGUUUCGGCGGCAGAGGUAAAAGCUGACCUCUCCAUGGAAGUUAGCGUUCGAGGACGGGCCCGCGUCCUAUCAGCUUGUUGGUGGGGUAAAGGCCUACCAAGGCAGCGACGGGUAGCUGGUCUGAGAGGAUGAUCAGCCACACUGGAACUGGAACACGGUCCAGACUCCUACGGGAGGCAGCAGUGAGGAAUUUUGCGCAAUGGGGGAAACCCUGACGCAGCAACGCCGCGUGGGUGAAGAAGGCUUUCGGGUCGUAAAGCCCUGUCAGGUGGGAAGAACCGUUUCGAUACUAAUAAUGUCGAAGCCUGACGGUACCACCAGAGGAAGCACCGGCCAACUCCGUGCCAGCAGCCGCGGUAAUACGGAGGGUGCAAGCGUUGUUCGGAAUUAUUGGGCGUAAAGAGCGUGUAGGCGGUUUGGUAAGUCAGAUGUGAAAGCCCUGGGCUCAACCCAGGAAGUGCAUUUGAAACUACCAGACUUGAGUACGGGAGAGGAGGGGGGAAUUCCCGGUGUAGAGGUGAAAUUCGUAGAUAUCGGGAGGAAUACCAGUGGCGAAGGCGCCCCUCUGGACCGAUACUGACGCUGAGACGCGAAAGCGUGGGGA
rnacentral:rRNA from 1 species